rnacentral:rRNA from 1 species
GGAUUGACAUGUUGGUCGUGCCUUAAGGGGUAUGAACUGGCAUUGUCGAUUUCUCACCUUCUGGAGAAUCACGAUGCUCUUAAUUGGGUGUCGUGUGGAUCCAGGACCUUUACCUUGAAAAAAUUAGAGUGUUUAAAGCAGGCAUUUUGCUCGAAUACAUUAGCAUGGAAUAAUAAAAUA